rfam:Triticum aestivum genome assembly, contig: Triticum_aestivum_CS42_TGACv1_scaffold_448902_5DL
CAACUACUCCCUCUGUCCCAAAUUUCUUGUCUUAGAUUUGUCUAGAUACGGAUGUAUCUAAUACUAAAAUGUGACUUGAUACAUCCAUAUCUAGACAAAUCUAAGACAAGAAUUUUGGGACGGAGGGAGUACUUU